rnacentral:rRNA from 1 species
UACAGAGGGUGCAAGCGUUGUUCGGAAUUAUUGGGCGUAAAGGGAGUGUAGGCGGUGAGUUAAGUCUUCUGUGAAAUCUACGGGCUUAGCCUGUAAAGUGCAGAGGAAACUGGCUGACUUGAGUAUCGGAGAGGGCAGGGGAAUACCCAGUGUAGAGGUGAAAUUCGUAGAGAUUGGGUGGAACACCAGUGGCGAAGGCGCCUGCCUGGCUGAUGACUGACGCUGAGACUCGAAAGCAUGGGGAGCAAACAGG